GCGGGCUACCCGCGGUUAGACGGAAAGACCCCGUGCACCUUUACUACAGCUUUGCAGUGGCAUCAGAAGAUGAAUGUGUAGGAUAGGCGGGAGGCUAUGAAACAUCGGCGCCAGUUGAUGUGGAGCCAUCCUUGAAAUACCGCCCUUUGAUCUUUUGCUGUCUAACCGCGGCCCGUUAUCCGGGUCCGGGACCCUGCAUGGCGGGUAGUUUGACUGGGGCG
rnacentral:rRNA from 1 species